UGUCAAAAGGGUAACAGCCCAGAUCACCAGAUAAGGCCCUAAAUAAUUGCUAAGUGGUAAAGGAUGUGUUGGUACGUAGACAACCAGGAGGUUCGCUUAGAAGCAGCAACCCUUUAAAAAUUGCGUAAUAGCUUACUGGUCAAGUGCCUUCGCGCCGAUAAUGUAUGGGACUAAGUAAUUUGCCGAAUCUGUGAGUUGUUUAUAACGGUAGAAGAGCGUUCUGUUUGAGUUGAAGCAGUAAUGAAAAUAGUUGUGGAUUAAACAGAAGUGAGAAUGUCGGCUUAAGUAACGAAAACAUUGGUGGGAAUCCAAUGCUCCGUAAACCUAAGGUUUCCUCCGCAAGGUUCGUCCACGGAGGGUUAGUCAGGUUCUAAAAUCAGGCUGAAAAGCGUAGUUGAUGAGAAACAAGUUAAUAUUCUUGUACUGUAUCGAUCCCGUGAAGGAGGACGAAGAAGUCUAGGUCUGCCAAAGACUGGUUGUUUUGGUUAAAAUUCUUAAGGCGUUGAAGGGUGCUAUGUAAAAAGUUCUCUGAGCUAAGGAAUGAAUGAUAAGGUGCUACGGUACCGAAUUGACUGACGGCAUGCUUCCUAGAAAAGCCCUUGCCUUGGUAAUUUCGAUACACCUGUACCGUAAACUGACACAGGUGGGUGAGUAGAGUAUACUCAGGAGCGCGUGAUAAUUCUUUUUAAGGAACUCGGCAAAAUAGCCUUGUAACUUCGGGAGAAAAGGUGCCUUGCUGAAAAGUAAGGUUGCAGUGAUCAGAUCCAGGCGACUGUUUACCAAAAACACAGGUCUCCGCUAAGUUGAAAAACGAUGUAUGGGGGCUGACGCCUGCCCAGUGCUGGAAGGUUAAAGAAAUCGGUUAGCGUUAAGCAAAGCUGGUGACUGAAGCCCCAGUGAACGGCGGCCGUAACUAUAACGGUCCUAAGGUAGCGAAAUUCCUUGUCGGGUAAGUUCCGACCCGCACGAAAGGCGUAACGAUCUGGAAACUGUCUCAAAAAGAAACACGGUGAAAUAGAACUAACUGUGAAGAUGCGGUUAACUUGCACUUGGACAGAAAGACCCUAUGAAGCUUUACUGUAGCCUGAUAUUGAUUUCGGACUUUUUUUGCGCAGUAUAGGUGGGAGGCUAUGAAUCUUUUUUUCGGAAAAUGAGGAGCCAUCAAUGAGAUACCACUCUGAAAAAGUUAGAAGUCUAAUGAUAUUUCUUUAAUCAGAAUGUUUGACAUUGUCAGGUGGGCAGUUUUACUGGGGCGGUAGCCUCCUAAAAAGUAACGGAGGCGUACAAAGGUUUUCUCAGACUGGACGGAAAUUUGUUUUAGAGUGUAAAGGCAUAAGAAAGCUUAACUGUUAGACCUACAAGUCAAACAGGGACGAAAGUCGGUCUUAGUGAUCCGACGAUUCUGAAUGUAAAGGUCGUCGCUUAACGGAUAAAAGUUACUCUAGGGAUAACAGGCUGAUCUCCUCCAAGAGUUCACAUCGACGAGGAGGUUUGGCACCUCGAUGUCGGCUCAUCGCAACCUGGAGCGGUAGUACGUUCCAAGGGUUAGGCUGUUCGCCUAUUAAAGCGGUACGUGAGCUGGGUUCAGAACGUCGAGAGACAGUUCGGUCCAUAUCCGGUGCAAGCGUUAGAGCAUUGAAAGGAUCUUUUUUUAGUACGAGAGGACCGAAAAAGACGCACCGCUGGUGUACCAGUUCUUAUGCCAAUAGGAAAUGCUGGGUAGUCAAGUGCGGAGUGGAUAACUGCUGAAA
rnacentral:rRNA from 1 species